CAGCAUUCUCAUUACUGAUGCAGCGCGGCCCACUGUCAGCUGUGCUGCCAGGGACAUUUGGUGGCGGAGAAAGUGACCAGGCUCCCAUGAGUAUCCCGUCCACCCGGGGCUCUUCAGCACCCGCUAAUUAUUCUUCGCACCUAAUAUGAGAAGGAGAAGGAGGAGAGACAGAUGAGAGAGGGACAGAGUGAGUGAGAAAGAGAGGGAGGAGAGACUGGCGACCAGCGGGACUUGUGCUUUCUUACAGGAACAAUGAAUCACAUGUAGCCGCCACCUGUCCUGUGUUGUCCCUUCUGCUGCUUUCGCAAAUUGCUGACAGGAUGACUGUGUUUGUACAGUACCGAGCCAGCCGGGGCUGCUGUGAUGGUAGCCACAGAGGAUGGGUACCAUUCCUCUGUGUCUGUGUGUCGGUCUUCGUCACUCAGGUCCAACCUUGGACAACAUCCUGAGGCAUCAGUGAUAUUUGGCCAAGGACAGAUGGAACUGGCCCUCAUUAAAAAUGGCCAUGCAUGGCAGUGCAUGCUGGGAGCUGUUCCGAUGGCAACCAUUGAUCCUUGACACCGACCGGCGAUAUAGAAUUGGGUUUAAUGAAUUCACAGAACAAAGUGACAAAGAUUAGAGAGCAAAGUAGGGAGAAAUGGAGCGACAGUAAGAGACAGAUAAAAAAUUAAG
rnacentral:lncRNA from 1 species